CAGCAGCCGCGGUAAUACGUAGGGGGCGAGCGUUGUCCGAAGUUACUGGGCGUAAAGAGCGCGUAGGCGGGUCUUUAAGUGAGGGGUGAAAGGUUCAGGGCUCAACCCGGACACUGCCUUUCAUACUGGAGACCUUGAGUGUGGGAGAGGCGAGUGGAAUGGUCGGUGUAGCGGUGAAAUGCGUAGAUAUCGAUCGGAACACCCAUGGCGAAGGCAGCUCGCUGGCCUAUAACUGACGCUGAGGCGCGAAAGCGUGAGGAGCAAACAGGAUUAGAUACCCCUGUAGUCCCUGUCUCUUAUA
rnacentral:rRNA from 1 species